AGUCAGUGAUGAUAAAUCCAAAGGCUUGUUUCUCAAAACAUUCGCAGUGGCCGCCUAAGAGCUUUGCCUUCGCCAGGCUUGAGAGCUUGUGCUGCUUUUAUCCUUCCUUGGAUGUCUGAGGCU
rnacentral:snoRNA from 1 species